rnacentral:rRNA from 1 species
UACGUAGGGACCAAGCGUUGUUCGGAUUUACUGGGCGUAAAGCGCACGUAGGCGGUUCGUUAUGUCGGAUGUGAAAGCCCUUGGCUUAACCGAGGAAGUGCAUCCGAAACUGGCGAGCUAGAGUACUAAAGAGGAUCGCGGAAUUCCCGGUGUAGAGGUGAAAUUCGUAGAUAUCGGGAGGAACACCGGUGGCGAAGGCGGCGAUCUGGGUAGAUACUGACGCUGAGGUGCGAAAGCGUGGGGAGCAAACAGG